UUUGUCUGGGCAUGCUCAGUUCACUUACGUAGAAGACACCUGAGGUGCCUUUUGAGCAUGUCCAGAUUGUGCAACAUGGAGGCCUCUGUGUCCCUGAACCUGUUAAUGGGUACAGCCUCUGUAUCUUUAAAACUGGUGAGACUGUGCCUGGUUGUUCCUCCCCCUACUCCCACCUCCAUCUUUGUUUGCCCUGCAUUGACACUCCCCUUUUGGCCACUCUUACCUGCUUCAUCUAGAGGGUGAAGAUCACAGCUCACCUACAGCUGCUGGAAAAAUAGUCCUUCAUCAACAUGGAGAAUACAUUCAAGCCUCACCUGGCUAGGAUUGGCAGGUCCAGAGCAAGUACCAAAUAGGUUUCCUGGACAAUUUCCCUAUUAGGUACCCAUUUAAAAAUAAAAUUACAUAUUCUUUUUAAAAAUUAAAUGUUUUAUUUACUAAAUG